rnacentral:rRNA from 1 species
GAGUCGCAUGACACAAGAAAAAGAAAGGGUGGCCUCUACUUGUAAGCUAUCGCCUGAAGAGGGGUUUGCGUCCGAUUAGGUAGUUGGUGAGGUAACGGCCCACCCAAGCCGACGAUCGGUAGCCGGUCUGAGAGGAUGAACGGCCACAUUGGAACUGAGACACGGUCCAGACUCCUACGGGAGGCAGCAGUGGGGAAUCUUCCGCAAUGGGCGAAAGCCUGACGGAGCAACGCCGCGUGAGUGAAGACGGCCUUCGGGUUGUAAAACUCUGUGAUUCGGGACGAAAGAUAAGUAGACGAAUAAUCUGCAUAAGUGACGGUACCGAAAAAGCAAGCCACGGCUAACUACGUGCCAGCAGCCGCGGUAAAU